AAAACCCUGGGAUGCAGCAGACAGAGGGGAUUUGGGCUGAGUCUAUAAACACCAGCAACAGAACUGGAAGCUGCUUUUCAUUUUUGUUGAGCUACAAUCCACAAACCAUCAAAUACACUUUUUUUUUUUUUUUUUUUUUUUUUUUUUAGGUCCGCACCUGUGGCAUAUGGAAGUUCCCAGGCUAAGGGUUGAAUUGGAGCUGCAGGAGAUCUGAGCUGUAUCUGUGACUUAAGCCAGAUCCUUAACCCACUGAGUGAGACCAGGGAUCAAACUCGCAUCCUCACAGACACUAAUUGGGUUCUUAACCUACCGAGCCACAAUAGGAACUCCAAAACACAUUUGUAAAAUAACACGAUUCAAUGGUUUUGAAUGCCCUGAAAAAGCUGUACAACCAUCACCAAUACUAACUCCAGUAUGUUAGAUCACACCCCCAAAGAAACUCCAUAACCAUUAGUGGAGACUCCCCAUUUUCCCCUCGCCUCAGCUUCUGGCAAAUACUCAUCUGCUCUGUUGCUAUGGAUGUGCCUAUCCUGAACAUUUCACAUACAUGGAAUCAUACAAUAGGUAGCCUUUUGUGUCUGGCUUCUUUCAUGUUGGCUUCAACAUCCAUGUAUGCUGAAGUAUGUAAGUUUAUCUCUUUUUAUGGCUGAAUAAUAAUCCAUCAUGUGAACAUACCACAUUUUGCCUACAGUUGAUGGGCAUUUGGAUCCCAGUUUCUAUUUUUGAGCUGUUAAAAAUAAUGCUGCUAUGGAGUUGUACAUCUUCCCCUCUUCCCUGUGUCACCGGGUGUCCACAAGCUGUGAGAGGCCAUGGUGAGUUUGCAUGCCCAAGUCACAGAGCAGACCCUGGAGAGGCAGGGAGUCCAUGAUUAGACUGUAAAUAAUGCAGAUAUUUGGGGGUGAGAGGGACAUGGAGUCCAAAGCCAGACGGUCAGAACUGAUCACACCUGUCCCUCUUGUGGGACCAGAAGGCAGACACCACAGAAUUCCUCAGGAGCAGUUC
rnacentral:lncRNA from 1 species